rnacentral:lncRNA from 1 species
UCCAUCAGUGUGAUCAGUUCUGCUUCUGUCAGGUAGUCAGGAGGACUGGUUUGCAUUUCCAGCAAUUUUAUUUCCCCAACUGGAAAGAGAUCUCCUUUCUCACAGGAGGGAAGGCUCUCUUCUAAUGCGAUGCUGUGCCAAGGCAUAAUUUCUGUGAACCCUGGUGAAGUUACCACUUUUCCAACACAGUUAAAACGUUCAGGGCCAAUACUGAAAGAAAUGUUGGUUUGUAGGUACUUGCAGUCAGCGCUCACAGUGGCAAUGAAAUGCCGAGUUAUGUACUCAUACAGUCGCCAGCUAUCUCCACCCAAUUCUACUUCUGUU